rnacentral:lncRNA from 1 species
AUGAUGAUAAUAGGGAUGAUCUCUUUGUCCUUUCUCAUCAGCAUACAGAGAAAUCAGGUUUGGCUCAAGCCUAUCAGGAAGAUACCAACCAAGAAACUGGUGUUGCCCAUUGCUUUCCAGAAAGACCACACGGAUUUGGGCUCUCCAUCCGGACAGAUUCCCGAGCUAUCAGGAGGAGAGGUGCGUGGGGAGCAGCCGGGAGCGCAGCGUGCCCAGCUCCGUGUGCCUCCCACCAGCAGCUCUCGCCUGCCCAGGCACGCAUGGAGCACGCCGUGCUGCCUGAUAGCGUAUAAAUCCACCAGGUGUGUGCUCAGGACAACAUUUCCUGGUAUCCCGGCUGCUUUUUGGCUACGCCAGAAGCCGUACUUAAGGAAUUACUGCCUAGUCUGGAUGGUAAAUGUGGUCUUCAGCACGGCAGCGUGCAUUUCUCAAAGGUCUGCAGAGAUGUAGCUGCAGCCUCCUCUUUGCUGAUACUUUCCCUAGGUCUGGUCAAGUUCUAGAUGACUCAAAUGACAUGAGAAAUGAUGGGAUAUCAAGUCUCAGUGGGUAGUGACCCUAUAGUUAGGUACAAGCAGAUAUUCCCCACUUGGGGCAGGAAAGAGGACCAUCACUUUUGAAGCAUAACGUUUGAUUAAACACAAAGAAACCUUUUUUUUCUAACCAACUUCACCAUUAAAUACUCAAGUAAGACCCUGUAGAAGGGUCACUGUGCAUCAGUGUCCUAUUGCUGAGUCAACUGAAAUGUUUUUUUCCUUUAUAAUUUCCCAGGAUCUACCAGGUUGGGCUGGUUACUUUGUGUUUUUAUCGUCCUAUUAUUUGGCAUUCAAAUGCGUGCAGUCAUUGAAGCGUUUGUUGGUUUCCUCAUUUGAAUUAUCCAUGCAAAGUUGAUCUCUGGUUUUCAAAAGCCAGUUUGCUCAGAUGUUGGCCGCUUAGUUUCCAGAAGUUCGCGUGGAUCUGCAGUGCUGGGGAAGCUGUUCCAUGUGCUUUUUUUUUUUUUUAGGCAUCAUCCCUUCUUCACAUGGGGAGACGAAGCAGGAGGAGCUGCUCACCAAGUAUAAAUGUCUGUAGAGCAAGAACUGCUAUUAGUGUGUCAGUUUUUGAAGUCUUGCUUUAAUCAGUGUGCUUUUGUAAGGGCUUCAGAAACUGCUCAUACUCUUGGCAUCUUCUGUUUUCCCUGCAUAGCAUGUUUAUAUCUACAACUGUGGUUUUCUUUCUAGUCUUUUUUUUUUUUAACCAUCCCUCUGAGGACAACCCUUGAUACUUCUUGCCCUGAUGAUGCACUCAUCAUCUUAAAGCUGUGUAAAACAGAUCUAAAGGGCACCAUGUCAGGUUGGGUGUUUGUCCCAGCCUUGCUAAUGCUGCUUGAAGUCAGCAGGCAGGUUGGUGUCAAAGAUAAAUUAUUAAGAUAAUUGACCAUGCGUUCAAAUUUUUUUGGAGUUAUUCCACAUUUUAGGGUGGGCAUUUGCUCAGAUCGGCCAUUGUAGUUUGGAUUAUGUAUUUUAGUCUCCCUAAUGCUACUUUUCAUGCAUCUAAGUCUGAUCAGCUCACUAGACACCAACGUUAAUUGCUUGAGUUGGGUGAAUUUACUCAAGUUCUGCAUGACAAAUCAGACCGAGAGUGGUAUUCUCACUGUUUUUAAAAUAUCUGGGAUAGGUAGAAAUAACUGGCAGCCCUUCCAUGUGUCUCCUUAAAAUUUCUCUUUGCUGCCAUCUCUUCCCUCUAAGACCUAACAAAGCACCACGUUCACAUCAUCUUCAACCCCUUCUUCUCUCAGGUACGUGACUGUUCUGUUUGCUGUCUGUUUGUGAAAUGGUUUGAGCUCAUCUAGGGAAGCCAAAGUAUUUUUAUCACAAAUGUAGAUGCCUGAAUUCCAGCAAGGGCCUCAGCACUUUCCAGCACCUCUGCAAAAAAAAAAGGAAAAAAAAAGGGGGUGGAAUGGCAGGAAGGAAGCUCCGUCACAACCACCUUCCUUUUGUAUCUGCUCCCAUCACCCUAUAGUCACUCAGGCCCUGGCUCCAAACUUUCAAAUAGCUCCCAUCUGCUGCUACAAACGAUGUGAGUGCUUUCAGGCACCGUGGUGUGCUUGGAUACCUGCUACCUGUCCUGUCCCAUCCCUGGGGGAUGCAUCUUCUUUUCUUGCAGUAUUCCAAAAUCAGCUGGACUUACCCUACGCCUGCUGUAUCCACUGACACAGGCGCAGUUGCCAGCAAUGUGGACAGCGGCAAGUAAACAGGUGCAAGUAUCACAGAUUAGGAAAGCCGCUUUAAAUUUAAUAGCCCAACAGUUGGUUGGAGUUGAAACAAUCCCAACGGAAAUAAUCCCCCUGCAUGUAAACCAAGUCUACGAGGGAAAAUGCGAUGUGGCUGCUGGCGGCCCCAAUAAAGCAGGGCGAUGCUGAGGAUUUCUGGCCA